GCCACACGCUCCUCUGACUAAGCCAGCCAGUCACCCCCAGUUCACCUUUUUAAGAAGAAUUUACCUUGAAACGAAAGCAUAUCAGCUACAAAAUACAUCAGCUCAAGAUUUUAUUUUUCAGCAAUCUCUAUACCUGAUAUGGGACCCGAACUCACCACCCUGAGAUCAAGGGUCUCAUGCUCCGCCUGCUGAGCCAGACAGGUGCCCCCCAAUCAGCUCUGACAUGACCUUUUUAAGCUUCCCAUUGAGCUCUUCUGUGUGCACUCCGAUAUCGAUGAGAAAACAUAAAUCCCAACGCCA